UACGUAGGGUGCGAGCGUUAAUCGGAAUUACUGGGCGUAAAGUGUGCGCAGGCGGCCAUGCAAGUCGAGUGUGAAAGCCCCGGGCUUAACUUGGGAAUUGCGCUCGAAACUACGUGGCUGGAGUGUGGUAGAGGAAGGUGGAAUUCCACGUGUAGCGGUGAAAUGCGUAGAGAUGUGGAGGAACACCAAUGGCGAAGGCAGCCUUCUGGGCCAACACUGACGCUCAUGCACGAAAGCGUGGGGAGCAAACAGG
rnacentral:rRNA from 1 species